AUGUGUGUGGCAGCAAAUAUACUAAAAUUGAGACUCUACACAGAAGAUUAGUAUAGCCCCUGAUUAAGGAUGAUAUGCAAAUACAUGAAGAGUUCCAUAUUUCU
ensembl:snRNA U6 U6 spliceosomal RNA